rnacentral:rRNA from 1 species
UACGUAGGGUGCGAGCGUUGUCCGGAAUUACUGGGCGUAAAGCGCUCGUAGGUGGUUUGUCGCGUCGUCUGUGAAAUUCCGGGGCUUAACUCCGGGCGUGCAGGCGAUACGGGCAUAACUUGAGUACAGUAGGGGAGAGUGGAAUUCCUGGUGUAGCGGUGAAAUGCGCAGAGAUCAGGAGGAAUACCGGUGGCGAAGGCGGCUCUCUGGGCAGUAACUGACGCUGAGGUGCGAAAGCAUGGGGAGCCAACAGG